rnacentral:pre_miRNA from 1 species
UGUGGGAUAGCUGGGUCAAAUGGUGGUUCCAUUCCCAGUUUUCAAAGCAAUUUCCAUACUGCUUUCCAUAUUGACUACACCAAUUUGCAGUCCCACCAGCAGU